AGCAGCCGCCACGGUAAUACGGAGGGUGCAAGCGUUAAUCGGAAUUACUGGGCGUAAAGCGCACGCAGGCGGUCUGUCAAGUCAGAUGUGAAAUCCCCGGGCUUAACCUGGGAACUGCAUUUGAAACUGGCAGGCUAGAGUCUUGUAGAGGGGGGUAGAAUUCCAGGUGUAGCGGUGAAAUGCGUAGAGAUCUGGAGGAAUACCGGUGGCGAAGGCGGCCCCCUGGACAAAGACUGACGCUCAGGUGCGAAAGCGUGGGGAGCAAACAGGAUUAGAUACCCCAGUAGUCCCUGUCUCUUAUAA
rnacentral:rRNA from 1 species